CCAGGUGAUAGAAGGAGGCUUUCGCUUCGCUCCCACUGUGGCCCACUCUGCUUUGAUGCUUCUAAGUUUUAGAAGUCCAAGCACCCACUUCAGGGUGUGCAAGUCAGUGGAGAGGUGGAGCUGAGCGCUGCGUGGGU
ensembl:miRNA